GGAUGUGAGGGUGAUCUGGCUGUGACAUGUGUCACCUCAUCGAUCACCAGGGUUGAUUCAGCUGACCUUGCUGGCAAGGUGGGUGUCCCUUUCUUCCCUCACCACUCAGUGUCCUUUCUGAAGCUGCUAGAACCUCCAAACAAGCUCUCAAGUAUUCACUACAUUUGUUUUUAAUAUAAUUUACUUAAUUGCAGGCAUAUAUAUAUAUAUAUAUAUAAAAUUUAAUGUAUAGUAAUGGCUGUUCUUAACAACCACCCU
rnacentral:snRNA from 1 species